UAUCUCUCUAAACAGUUUCUUCUUCUCCUAGCUCUAGCCUUCCAUUCCACUGACUCGGUGCAUAUUCUGUUUGGUGGUACCCCUACGACUGUCCCGUAGAGAGCUUCCAAACCAUUCGAUUGGUUUUAUGUUCCGUAGUCGGGUGUCUUUGAAAUUUGUUGUGAGGAGCAUUGUUUAGAGCGUUCCUGUCAAGUUAAACUGUGAAACUUUCCAGUAGGUGAUGAGGUACCCUUGGAGCAGGCGUUGGAGGCUGAGGAAGAUCCAACACCCAGUACUUAGGACGUCUAUUAGUUAUUUCUAUAGAUUGUUAUUUCGGAGAACACUCUUUAGGUCUUUUUAAUGGUUAGUAAUCUUAUAAUUUGGGAAACCUUAGAAAACUUGUACUUAAGUUUCUUUUCUUUUUAAUUCUUUCUAUAUUUUGGAUGACUGUAACAUCAAUCUCUAAACUACCAUUUUACUCUGAGUGUUCUUCUUAUUGGAAUGAUGACAUUUUUAUCAUAUAAG